rnacentral:rRNA from 1 species
GACGAACGCUGGCGGCGUGCUUAACACAUGCCAGUCGAACGGUAAGGCCCCAGCUUGCUGGGGUACACGAAUGGCGAACGGGUGAGUAACACGUGGGUGACCUGCCCCGCACUUCGGGAUAAGCCUGGGAAACUGGGUCUAAUACCGGAUAGGACCGCACCGUGAGGGUGUGGUGGAAAGUUUUUCGGUGUGGGAUGGGCCCGCGGCCUAUCAGCUUGUUGGUGGGGUAAUGGCCUGCCAAGGCGGCGACGGGUAGCCGGCCUGAGAGGGUGGACGGCCACAUUGGGACUGAGACACGGCCCAGACUCCUACGGGAGGCAGCAGUGGGGAAUAUUGCACAAUGGGCGGAAGCCUGAUGCAGCGACGCCGCGUGGGGGAUGACGGCCUUCGGGUUGUAAACUCCUUUCACCAUCGACGAAGGUUUUCUGACGGUAGAUGGAGAAGAAGCACCGGCUAACUACGUG